rnacentral:rRNA from 1 species
AUGACGGGCACCCCGGCCUGCCGCAGCGCGCUGGCCAUGUCGGUGAUGGCCAUGGUCUUGGACGGCCGCAGCGCGCUCACCCGCGGGCUGAUGGACGUGUCCACCGCCUCCGCCCUCACCGCCGCCAUCCUGAACCUCCCCGUGGACGCCCUGCGACCAGAGAAGCAAGCAAAAUCAAAUCUUUACCCCCAACGGCAGCGGACAGAUCAAUCGGGAUGGGCAGAGCUGCGGGGGGGCCGCCGCGACUCACUUGGAGAAGGAGAGGGAGCCUGCGCCCGGGGAGGGCUUGGUGGGGAGGGUGAAAGACGAGGAGGGGGAGGAGGAGGAAGGGGUGGAGAGGGAGGAGAACGCCAUUGA